rnacentral:lncRNA from 1 species
GCUGGCCGGAGGGCUCUGUCUCCGCAGCCCCUCCACCUCCUUCCUGAGGUGGUCCCUCUCCAUCUUCAGCUCCUCCAGCGCCAGGCUGCCCUCAUUCACCAGCGCCUCCAGCAUCUCCAGGACGCGGACGACUUUGAACUGCAGCUGCGUCACCCGGGGGUCGCUGCCCAGGGCCAUAAGCUCGCGGCCCAACAGGUAGGAGAUGUCAUACACGUCCUCGGCGGUCAGCUGGAAGGGGCUCUUGCCCAACGCCCCCUCGGGCCCAACCUCGUCCCUCUCCUCGUCCUCCUCUCCCUCCUCCUCUUCCUCUUCUCGCACAGGGGGCUCCUCCAUGGCCACCCAGACCCCCGCCGACCUCGGAGCUGCUGUCUUGGAGUCUCCCAAAGCCGUAGAAUUUGCAUCGUAGGUGAUGGAAGAUCC